AGUCGGCUGACGUGGCGUAACGCCACGUCAGCCUCUAUUAAAAAAAAUGAAAAAUGAAAUACGAAAUAUAAACGAAAACCAAAACCGGUGCAGAUUGAAAGCAUUUCCGAAAAGAGUGAUUUCCCGCUUCUUCCAUUCGCGAGCCCCCCAGAACUGAAAGGAGGAAGACUACCUCGUCGUGGGUGCAGAGAGCUGUUGCCGUUGGGUGGGUUGAUUUCGGGUUGGUCCGGUCUGCGUUGGAGUGGGUCAAAGGCCGAUCAUUGUUGUUGGUUUCAGUUGAGAUUGGGCACCAUGGGUCGUCAUUUUCGUGGGUUUUUCGUGUGGGUCUUCUUCGUCAGCAGCUUCAUUAGGUGUAAGAUCCAGUUUUUUCUUUUCUCAGUCUACAUUUCUUCAACCGUUUCUUCCUGUAUUGGAGUGUCCUUGCGUGAUUGCUACGUUUAUGGCUUUUCAUAUUCGGCUUGAAAUUGCCCCUUGGAAGUUCAAAACCGCUCUGAGAAAAAAGAGGUCGAGGUAAAGCACAUUAUUUUCCUUUGCAACUUGAUCUUUUCUGUCAUUCUUGCUCUUUCAUUUUUCUCCAUCACACGCCUACAUUUUUUGUUUCAGGUAUUGAUGAACCCUUUAGGUGACUGGUUUUUUUUUUGGGAUUAUUGUUAUACUACAUUAUGGAUUUGUUAGCUCUGUCUUGCUCGAAACAGUUUAAAUUGCUUAAAAUAGAUAAGGUUUUGGUCUCUGAAUUGGGCAAUAUGUAAAAUACAAUGCUUUCUUUCCCUGUUCUAUUGUCUUUGUUUUCUCUUUUCGGUACCCUCACA